rfam:Myotis brandtii contig171874, whole genome shotgun sequence.
AGUGGUUCUUGGGUGACCCACCCCGGAAUCAGGCUCACUCCUCUCUGGUUCCUGGUGCAUCACCCGAGAACAACA